rnacentral:rRNA from 1 species
GGAAGGAUCAUUAUUGAAUGAACUUGGUGUGGUUGUUGCUGGCCCUCUCGGGGGCAUGUGCACACCCACCAUCCUCAUCUCUCCACCUGUGCACCUCUUGUAGACCUGGAUAGACUUUCCGAGGCAACUCGGUCGGGAAGAUUGCUGCGCUCUGUGAGCCAGCUUUCUUUGCAUGUCCAGGCCUAUGUUUUUCAUAUACCCCUAUAGAAUGUAACAGAAUGUAUCAUUGGGCCUUGUGCCUAUAAACCUUAUACAACUUUCAGCAACGGAUCUCUUGGCUCUCGCAUCGAUGAAGAACGCAGCGAAAUGCGAUAAGUAAUGUGAAUUGCAGAAUUCAGUGAAUCAUCGAAUCUUUGAACGCACCUUGCGCUCCUUGGUAUUCCGAGGAGCAUGCCUGUUUGAGUGUCAUUAAACUCUCAACCUUAUUAGCUUUUGUUGAUAAUGGAUUGGAUGUGGGGGUUUCUUUGCUGGCUUCUUCACAGAGAUCAGCUCCCCUUAAAUGCAUUAGCUGGUGCCCCGCGUGGACCAUCUAUUGGUGUGAUAAUUAUCUACGCCGUGGAUGUCUGCAAUCAUAUGGGUUUUGCACUGCUUCUAACUGUCUGUUCAUUCGGACAAUACAUGACAAUUUGACCUCAAAUCAGGUAGGACUACCCGCUGAACUUAAGCAUAUCAAUAAGCGGAGGAAAAGAAACUAACAAGGAUUCCCCUAGUAACUGCGAGUGAAGCGGGAAAAGCUCAAAUUUAAAAUCUGGCGGUCUCCGGCCGUCCGAGUUGUAAUCUAGAGAAGUGUUAUCCGCGCUGGACCGUGUACAAGUCUCCUGGAAUGGAGCGUCAUAGAGGGUGAGAAUCCCGUCUUUGACACGGACUGCCAGGGCUUUGUGAUGCG